ensembl:lncRNA
CAUUCUUUCCUCCUCUGCCAAAAGCAUCCUAAGGUUUCCAGGGCUGAUAAAUGAGGAAGUCUGACGUGAUGAAGCGCGCUGAAGUUCACAGCAUAUGAGAGGCGCCCGAGGGCCCUGUCAGCCCUGCUUUGAUUUGGAUCCGGAUCCUGAUCUCAGGGCUGGAAAUAGAGAUUAACAGAUGGCAGUGUAUCAGGCUGAGCGGCUGGGCCGGGCCUCACCCACGCCAGACCCGCUGCACUGUGAAAACACUGGGGGUUUCGCACCGUGCCCACACGAGAGCUGCAGGAUUGAAGCAGAAACAUUCCUCAUGUCACGGAAGGAUUCCAGAACUCCACAGCAAA